UUAGAGUUUGAUCCUGGCUCAAGACGAACGCUGGUGGCGCGCCUAACACAUGCAAGUCGAACGAGCGAGAGAGAGUUUGCUUUCUCAAGCGAGUGGCGAACGGGUGAGUAACGCGUGAGGAACCUGCCUCAAAGAGGGGGACAACAGUUGGAAACGACUGCUAAUACUGCAUAAGCCCACAGGUCGGCAUCGACCAGAGGGAAAAGGAGCAAUCCGCUUUGAGAUGGCCUCGCGUCCGAUUAGCUAGUUGGUGAGGUAACGGCCCACCAAGGCGACGAUCGGUAGCCGGACUGAGAGGUUGAACGGCCACAUUGGGACUGAGACACGGCCCAGACUCCUACGGGAGGCAGCAGUGGGGAAUAUUGCACAAUGGGGGAAACCCUGAUGCAGCGACGCCGCGUGGAGGAAGAAGGUCUUCGGAUUGUAAACUCCUGUUGUUGAGGAAGAUAAUGACGGUACUCAACAAGGAAGUGACGGCUAACUACGUGCCAGCAGCCGCGGUAAAACGUAGGUCACAAGCGUUGUCCGGAAUUACUGGGUGUAAAGGGAGCGCAGGCGGGAAGACAAGUUGGGAGUGAAAUCUAUGGGCUCAACCCAUAAACUGCUUUCAAAACUGUUUUUCUUGAGUAGUGCAGAGGUAGGCGGAAUUCCCGGUGUAGCGGUGGAAUGCGUAGAUAUCGGGAGGAACACCAGUGGCGAAGGCGGCCUACUGGGCACCAACUGACGCUGAGGCUCGAAAGUGUGGGUAGCAAACAGGAUUACGAUACCCUGGUAGUCCACACCGUAAACGAUGAUUACUAGGUGUUGGAGGAUUGACCCCUUCAGUGCCGCAGUUAACACAAUAAGUAAUCCACCUGGGGAGUACGACCGCAAGGUUGAAACUCAAAGGAAUUGACGGGGGCCCGCACAAGCAGUGGAGUAUGUGGUUUAAUUCGACGCAACGCGAAGAACCUUACCAAGUCUUGACAUCCUGCGACGAUGCUGGAAACAGUAUUUUCCUUCGGGACGCAGAGACAGGUGGUGCAUGGUUGUCGUCAGCUCGUGUCGUGAGAUGUUGGGUUAAGUCCCGCAACGAGCGCAACCUUUACUGUCAGUUACUACGCAAGAGGACUCUGGCAGGACUGCCGUUGACAAAACGGAGGAAGGUGGGGAUGACGUCAAAUCAUCAUGCCCUUUAUGACUUGGGCUACACACGUACUACAAUGGCGUUAAACAAAGAGAAGCAAGACCGCGAGGUGGAGCAAAACUCAGAAACAACGUCCCAGUUCGGACUGCAGGCUGCAACUCGCCUGCACGAAGUCGGAAUUGCUAGUAAUCGUGGAUCAGCAUGCCACGGUGAAUACGUUCCCGGGCCUUGCACUAACCGCCCGUC
rnacentral:rRNA from 1 species